GAGAGAGGAGAGCAGGCAGGGAACAGCAGCUCAGUCCACAGCCUACACGUCGCUCACAAGGAGCGGAAACAUGUCCAGCGGGAACAAAAAACAGAGGAGCUCGUGUUUACAUUCUCCUCCGUUAAACGUCACGUUUCUGAUACUUUGUAUCGAACCUAAGCGCACGCGCCAAAACACCGUGGUACAGAUUUACAGCCCCUGUUCUCUUCCGCUCCCUUUCCUCACGCGCUUCUCUCCCUCUCACUGGUUUCUUUUGGCAACGAGAUGUUUCUGCGGUCCCAACUGCAACCCACUGCUCACAUUUGACCCGUUGUGCCCCGUUUCAGAUUCGUUCCAGACCCGGGAGAUGAAAUGAGCUCACAGCUUCCCGGUGGUUAUCUCCUGCGAACUUACAACACGAACAGUGUGUCCCGACUUUCCCAAAGUGGAUCCAUACUCCAUACAACAAAAAAAAACAAACAAA